UCCAGAGGGGGCAAGCGUUGUUCGGAAUUACUGGGCGUAAAGGGCGCGUAGGCGGCCUGUUAAGUCGAACGUGAAAUCCCCGGGCUCAACCCGGGAACUGCGUCCGAUACUGGCAGGCUUGAAUUCGGGAGAGGGAUGUGGAAUUCCAGGUGUAGCGGUGAAAUGCGUAGAUAUCUGGAGGAACACCGGUGGCGAAGGCGGCAUCCUGGACCGAUAGUGACGCUGAUGCGCGAAAGCCAGGGGAGCAAACGGG
rnacentral:rRNA from 1 species